UAGCUGUGACUGGGAUUCUGACACAGUAAUGCAGGCAAUAACAGCAGCUUUCCAACCAGCUGUGGAGGGAUGCAGGUUACAAAUCCUGCUGCCAUGCUACAACAAACUAGUUGAGCCAUCCCUUACCCCCACACAGACUUUGAAUGGAGACCUUGUGAAAAAACUGUUUCAUCAGAAGUCCAUUUAUGUCAGGCCUGACAAAAUUAUUUUAAUCAUGUUCUGAUGGAGAAAGAAGCUGUACAAAUGACCCUGGUUUGUCAGAA